UGAAAAGUCGAAGGAAAGAAGGGUGGCUUCUGCAGAUGAUGUGUGCCUCUCUCUAAAGUUUUCGUUUCUCUGACUAAAAGGGGUUCUAGGGCUUUCAUUUGCUGCUUCAAUCCGGCAUGAUUUUAACGGCAAUGAUGCGUUUGUCGAGGCAGUUAUUAACGAGGAGAUCAACGGUGAGCUUUGAUGGAGGUAUCGUUUUCAAUUGAUAAUAGGAUGGUUUACAUUACUUUUGCCAGCUGUAGUUAGUUGUAGUUCAGUGUAUAAAAGAUGUAAUUUGUCACAAUUUAUUGUAUGAUUUUUGAGGCUAUUGAAUGAAACUUAAGGUAUUAUUCGUUCUUCUUCUCUCUGUAUUGUCUUGAGUGCUUAUGUUAAUGAUAAUAGUUUUGUUUUUAGGGUUCUUGGUGUUUGAUAGUUAAUUCUGCUUUCUCUGUGAUUCUGAUUGCUUAAAGUAGUUUAAUAGAUUAUCGGAGAAGUUCUUUUUGGUAUAUCUGUUGCUGGAGGUGUUGAAUUAGGUUCUCUAGAUUCUUGAGGACCACGUCAAUAUGACCAUGCUUUUGUGGCACGAUGCAUUUAAGAGCAAGCAAAGGGCCAGUCAGCAGAACAUUCAUCUGGAGAAGGCGGCAGUGUUGUUUAAUUUGGGGGCAGUGUACAGUCAGAUUGGGUUGUCGUUUGAUCAUGCCAACAUGGAGGGGCGGCGGGAGGCAUCACAUGCAUUCAUUGUGGCAGCCGGAGCCUUUCCUUAUUUGAGAGAUAAUGCAUCCACAAAGGCGAGUAUGGGGAGCUCCAUGAUGGUGUAUAUCAGCCUCAUGUGCGCCAGAAUGUUGGAGAGAUUGAUGCUAGCCCAAGCUCAAGGGUGUGUGUUUGAGAAUACGAUUGCUAAAGGGAGUACGCCUGGUGUUUGCACUAAAAUUUCUAGACAAGAAAGGUGAGGGAUAGUGUUGUUGGGUUUUUCUGGUGUGAUUUUGAUGUAAAAGCCAUUUUUUUUAUACUGUCUGUUACUGACAUCUCAGGCGUCAUUCUUGCCGGUAAGUAGUUCUUCUUCCCAAUUUGUUAAUUAUAUGCAAUUCUUACAUAUAUCGUAGUUAUCUGUCUUAAUCUUGCAAAAGUGAUUAAGUUGCUUCAUUCUGAUGUUUUAUCAGCCUGCUGACAUUUAUAAUUGCAGGGCACGUUUUAAUAUGCGUGGAUCCCGAGUCAAGUCAUGCUGUUGUUGGUUGGGCUGCAAAAACCUUUUCAACAGCAGUGUUUUUCAUAUAUGAGCAGAUCCUCCCAGAUGAUGCUUUUGGGCAGCAAAUGAUCAAAUUUUUUUAUUUGUUUGAUGCUGAUGCUUUAUAAAAAUCACAUUUUUUAUUGUUGGUUUCUUAUGUGUACUCUUAUUUUUAUAAUUCUAUUUGAUGCUCCAGAGUGCUGUUGCCUGGGACAUGGUGAAAGUUUAUAGCAAUUUUGUUGAUGCUCAAGAGAGACGCAAGUAUAUGUAUUUGGAAAAUUGUUUGCACCAGUAUGAUUCCAGAGGCAUUGGUGGAAGCCGGGGGUCAGUUGCAGAGCACUUAGGAGGUAGCAGAGAGGGUGCUUUAGGCUGCUUAUCCAAGACAUGUGCUGUUUCAACUUUAGGUUUUGGCUUCUCUUCUAUCUUUUCAGCCAGAGAUGGAUUACAAGCAGCCCUCUCUGGUAUUUUCUCCAAGGGAGCUACAUGAGCUACACCUUCACCAGAUUUUGAAAUGAUAGCAAUUUUGAAACCUGGUUCUACAGUUUCUCCUUUGGCAACAAGCUGCAGGAAAUUAAAACACAGAAACUAGCAGCAUCGUUAAUAAAUCCGAACCACGGGGUUUUCGGGCUUGGUUUCAUUCAUAUCUGGCCUGAGUUUUUAAUAAACCCUUAAAACCAAUUAGGACAGGUUUAUAAGUUUUUUAGUAAGAAAUUCAAAAACCUAUAGUUGAAAAUAUACCUUUGUUUAGUUUUAACAAGAAUAUAAAUAAUCCAAUUAUUUAGGGUAUAGGGUUUAUUUUUA